UGCCAGCAGCCGCGGUAAUACGGAGGGGGCAAGUGUUAUUCGGAAUGACUGGGCGUAAAGGGCACGUAGGCGGUUUUAUAGGUUGUUAGUAAAAGACUAAGGCACUUCCUUAGUAAUGCUUUCAAAACCGUAAAUCUAGAGCUUGAUAGAGGAAAAUAGAAUUUCUGGAGUAGAGGUUGAAUUCGGAGAUCUCAGAAGGAAUGCCAAAGGCGAAGGCAAUUUUCUGGCUCAUGGCUGACGCUGAGGUGCGAAGGCACAAGUAUCAAGUGGGAUUAGAUA
rnacentral:rRNA from 1 species